rnacentral:rRNA from 1 species
GUGGGGAAUAUUGCACAAUGGGCGGAAGCCUGAUGCAGCAACGCCGCGUGCGGGAUGACGGCCUUCGGGUUGUAAACCGCUUUCAGCAGGGACGAAGCGUGAGUGACGGUACCUGCAGAAGAAGCACCGGCUAACUACGUGCCAGCAGCCGCGGUGAUACGUAGGGUGCGAGCGUUGUCCGGAUUUAUUGGGCGUAAAGAGCUUGUAGGCGGUUGGUUGCGUCGAAAGUGCAAACUCAGGGCUUAACUCUGAGCCUGCUUUCGAUACGGGCUGACUGGAGGAAGGUAGGGGAGAAUGGAAUUCCCGGUGGAGCGGUGGAAUGCGCAGAUAUCGGGAGGAACACCAGUGGCGAAGGCGGUUCUCUGGACCUUUCCUGACGCUGAGAAGCGAAAGCGUGGGGAGCAAACAGGCUUAGAUACCCGGGUAGUCC